rnacentral:rRNA from 1 species
AGUCGAACGGUAACAGGGAUUAGCUUGCUAAUUUGCUGACGAGUGGCGGACGGGUGAGUAAUGCUUGGGAAUCUAGCUUAUGGAGGGGGAUAACUACGGGAAACUGUAGCUAAUACCGCGUAAAAUCUUCGGAUUAAAGGGUGGGACUUUCGGGCCACCUGCCAUAAGAUGAGCCCAAGUGGGAUUAGGUAGUUGGUUAGGUAAAGGCUGACCAAGCCGACGAUCUCUAGCUGGUCUGAGAGGAUGACCAGCCACACUGGAACUGAGACACGGUCCAGACUCCUACGGGAGGCAGCAGUGGGGAAUAUUGCACAAUGGGGGGAACCCUGAUGUAGCCAUGCCGCGUGAAUGAAGAAGGCCUUCGGGUUGUAAAGUUCUUUCGGUGACGAGGAAGGUUGAUAGGUUAAUAGCCUAUCAAAUUGACGUUAAUCACAGAAGAAGCACCGGCUAACUCCGUGCCAGCAGCCGCGGUAAUACGGGGGGUGCGAGCGUUAAUCGGAAUAACUGGGCGUAAAGGGCACGCAGGCGGUGACUUAAGUGAGAUGUGAAAGCCCCGGGCUUAACCUGGGAAUUGCAUUUCAUACUGGGUCGCUAGAGUACUUUAGGGAGGGGUAGAAUUCCACGUGUAGCGGUGAAAUGCGUAGAGAUGUGGAGGAAUACCGAAGGCGAAGGCAGCCCCUUGGGAAUGUACUGACGCUCAUGUGCGAAAGCGUGGGGAGCAAACAGGAUUA